UACGUAGGGUGCGAGCGUUAAUCGGAAUUACUGGGCGUAAAGCGUGCGCAGGCGGUUUGUUAAGUCUGAUGUGAAAGCCCCGGGCUCAACCUGGGAACUGCAUUGGAAACUGGCAAGCUCGAGUAUGGCAGAGGGGGGUGGAAUUCCGCGUGUAGCAGUGAAAUGCGUAGAGAUGCGGAGGAACACCGGUGGCGAAGGCGCACACCUGGCCCGAUACUGACGCUGAGGCGCGAAAGCUAGGGGAGCAAACGGG
rnacentral:rRNA from 1 species